GUUUUAAUAGUUUAAUAUAAAAACAUUGGUCUUGUAAAUCAAAAUUAAGGAAGACAAUACACUUUUAAAACU
rnacentral:tRNA from 1 species